AGUCUUAUAUUCAAUAAAUGAUUUAAAAUUGCAAAUUUUAAGGUAUAGAUUAUAAAUAUUUCUAUUAAGGCUU
rnacentral:tRNA from 1 species